CUACGGGGCGCUCCAGUGAGGAAUAUUGCACAAUGGGGGGAACCCUGAUGCAGCAACGCCGCGUGGAGGAUGACGCAUUUCGGUGUGUAAACUCCUUUUAUAUGUCAAGAAAAUGACGGUAGCAUAUGAAUAAGCACCGGCUAACUCCGUGCCAGCAGCCGCGGUAAUACGGAGGGUGCAAGCGUUACUCGGAAUCACUGGGCGUAAAGGACGCGUAGGCGGGUUGGAAAGUCAGGUGUGAAAUCCUACAGCUUAACUGUAGAACUGCACUUGAAACUUCUAAUCUAGAGUAUGGGAGGGGGAGAUGGAAUUAGUGGUGUGGGGGUAAAAUCCGUAGAUAUCACUAGGAAUACCUAAAGCGAAGGCGACCUCCUGGAACAUUACUGACGCUAAGGCGUGAAAGCGGGGGGAGCAAACAGGAUUAGAUACCCUCGUAGUC
rnacentral:rRNA from 1 species